rnacentral:rRNA from 1 species
GACGAACGCUGGCGGCGCGCUUAACACAUGCAAGUCGAGCGAAGCGGCGGACGGGUGAGUAACAAGUGAGUAACCUGCCUUAGACAUUGGGAUAGCCUCGGGAAACCGGGAUUAAUACCCAAUGGUCUAAGAUGGACUCGCGUCCCAUUAGCUACUUGGUGAGGUAACGGCCCACCAAGGCGACGAUGGGUAGGCGGCCUGAGUGGGUGAACGGCACCAGUUGAACUGAGAAACGGUCCAAACUCUACGGGAGGCAGCAGUGGGGAAUAUUGCACAAUGGAGGGAACUCUGAGGCAGCGACGCCGCGGGAACGAAGAAGGCUUUCGAGUCGUAAAGUUCUUUUAUAUGGGAAGCGGUACCAUACGAAAAAGCCCCGGCUAACUACGUGCCAGCAGCCGCGGUAAUUC